GAUCAGGGAAAGCUAGAGCCUUCUGCAGACCCUGAGCUGGUCAGGGCUGAGAGCUGGGGUCAUGACCCUCACCUUCAUUUCCUGUACCUGUCCUUCCCAGAGCCUCCUCCAUCCACCAACUCUACCAUGGUGAUCAUUGCUGUCCUGGUUGUCCUUGGAGUUGUGGCCAUCAUUGGAGCUGUGGUGGCUUUAGUGAGGAGAAACAGAGGUGGACAAGGAGGGGACUAUGCUCCAGCUCCAGCAUGAAGACAGCUGCCUGGAGUGGACUGAGUGGCAGAAGUUGUGUUCAGGUCUCUCCUGUGACAUCCAGAGUCCUCAGGUCUCUUUAGACAACAGUGUCUGAUGUUCCCUGUGAUCCUCGGGGCUCAAUGUGAAGAACUGUGGAGCCCAGCCUGUCCUGCACACCAGGACCCUGUCCCUGCAUGGCCUGUGUUCCCUUCCACAGCCAACCUUCCUGGUCUGAAGUGGAAAGUCAGAGUUCUUUGGAAAGUUGGUUGGAUGGCGUUUCUGGGGCAAACACAUGAAGGAGUGUUUCAUUAAAGUGGACGCAGUAGGAAAGGC